UACGUAGGGGGCUAGCGUUGUCCGGAAUCAUUGGGCGUAAAGCGCGCGUAGGCGGCCCGGUAAGUCCGCUGUAAAAGUCCAGGGCUCAACCCUGGAAAGCCGGUGGAUACUGUCGGGCUCGAGUCCGGAAGAGGCGAGUGGAAUUCCUGGUGUAGCGGUGGAAUGCGCAGAUAUCAGGAGGAACACCAGUGGCGAAGGCGACUUCCUGGCCUGUUCUUGACGCUGAGGCGCGAAAGCUAGGGUAGCAAACGGG
rnacentral:rRNA from 1 species